rnacentral:rRNA from 1 species
GACGAACGCUGGCGGCGUGCUUAACACAUGCAAGUCGAACGGAAAGGCCCUGCUUUUGUGGGGUGCUCGAGUGGCGAACGGGUGAGUAACACGUGAGUAACCUGCCCUUGACUUUGGGAUAACUUCAGGAAACUGGGGCUAAUACCGGAUAGGAGCUCCUGCUGCAUGGUGGGGGUUGGAAAGUUUCGGCGGUUGGGGAUGGACUCGCGGCUUAUCAGCUUGUUGGUGGGGUAGUGGCUUACCAAGGCUUUGACGGGUAGCCGGCCUGAGAGGGUGACCGGCCACAUUGGGACUGAGAUACGGCCCAGACUCCUACGGGAGGCAGCAGUGGGGAAUAUUGCACAAUGGGCGGAAGCCUGAUGCAGCAACGCCGCGUGCGGGAUGACGGCCUUCGGGUUGUAAACCGCUUUCGCCUGUGACGAAGCGUGAGUGACGGUAAUGGGUAAAGAAGCACCGGCUAACUACGUGCCAGCAGCCGCGGUGAUACGUAGGGUGCGAGCGUUGUCCGGAUUUAUUGGGCGUAAAGGGCUCGUAGGUGGUUGAUCGCGUCGGAAGUGUAAUCUUGGGGCUUAACCCUGAGCGUGCUUUCGAUACGGGUUGACUUGAGGAAGGUAGGGGAGAAUGGAAUUCCUGGUGGAGCGGUGGAAUGCGCAGAUAUCAGGAGGAACACCAGUGGCGAAGGCGGUUCUCUGGGCCUUUCCUGACGCUGAGGAGCGAAAGCGUGGGGAGCGAACAGGCUUAGAUACCCUGGUAGUCCACGCUGUAAACGGUGGGUACUAGGUGUGGGGUCCAUUCCACGGGUUCCGUGCCGUAGCUAACGCUUUAAGUACCCCGCCUGGGGAGUACGGCCGCAAGGCUGAAACUCAAAGGAAUUGACGGGGCCCCGCACAAGCGGCGGAGCAUGCGGAUUAAUUCGAUGCAACGCGUAGAACCUUACCUGGGUUUGACAUGGAUCGGGAGUGCUCAGAGAUGGGUGUGCCUCCUUUGGGGUCGGUUCACAGGUGGUGCAUGCCUGUCGUCAGCUCGUGUCGUGAGAUGUUGGGUUAAGUCCCGCAACGAGCGCAACCCUUGUUCACUGUUGCCAGCACGUUAUGGUGGGGACUCAGUGGAGACCGCCGGGGUCAACUCGGAGGAAGGUGGGGAUGACGUCAAGUCCUCAUGCCCCUUAUGUCCAGGGCUUCACGCAUGCUACAAUGGCUGGUACAGAGAGUGGCGAGCCUGUGAGGGUGAGCGAAUCUCGGAAAGCCGGUCUCAGUUCGGAUUGGGGUCUGCAACUCGACCUCAUGAAGUCGGAGUCGCUAGUAAUCGCAGAUCAGCAACGCUGCGGUGAAUACGUUCCCGGG